UCAGUGUAUCCAACACGGCAACAAAGAGGAACACGGAACCCCAGGAUCACAUCAACAGACGCUGGAAAGCGCUCGACACAGUCCAGCCCCCAUGUGUGGUGCAGGCCCUGGACGCCCUCGGGGGAGGAACAGACCUUCACAUGGAAACUGGGGCUGAAGACCCGGGUCUGUCGGCGUCCAGCGGACACGAUCCUCCACGCAGGGAGAGCAAAAGCUCCCCGAGAGGGAACAGAUCCACAAAGGCUGCGAGGAGACAAUCCAAGCUAGAGAAGGAAGAAGACACUAAAGGCCUCACCCAGGGGAGAAAGAGCUGGACAUUCCACACUCACGCCGGAGGAGGGAGAUUGUCCCUGGACACAUAACUGAAGAUCCACAGACUCAUGCGUCCCCGUGAAAUACACCAGAACCUCACAGAAAUGCAGCAAAGUUUGAAUAAAGUUUAUCCAAAACACACAAGACA